rnacentral:rRNA from 1 species
CCUACGGGUGGCAGCAGUGAGGAAUAUUGGUCAAUGGACGAGAGUCUGAACCAGCCAAGUAGCGUGAAGGAUGACUGCCCUAUGGGUUGUAAACUUCUUUUAUAUGGGAAUAAAACGUUCCACGUGUGGGAUUUUGUAUGUACCAUAUGAAUAAGGAUCGGCUAACUCCGUGCCAGCAGCCGCGGUAAUACGGAGGAUCCGAGCGUUAUCCGGAUUUAUUGGGUUUAAAGGGAGCGUAGGUGGAUUGUUAAGUCAGUUGUGAAAGUUUGCGGCUAAACCGUAAAAUUGCAGUUGAAACUGGCAGUCUUGAGUACAGUAGAGGUGGGCGGAAUUCGUGGUGUAGCGGUGAAAUGCUUAGAUAUCACGAAGAACUCCGAUUGCGAAGGCAGUUCACUGGACUGCAACUGACACUGAGGCUCGAAAGUGUGGGUAUCAAACAGGAUUAGAUACCCUAGUAGUC